rnacentral:misc_RNA from 1 species
GAAGAAUUGGUUCUUGCGCUUUCCUACGAUCUUACAGGCAUGUGAGAGUAUGAUUGAAAUGCUUAGAGGCCAAUAUGCUCAUUACGUUGGUUGUUACUAUGAAGCAACCUUCCAUUAUAUCGAAGCUGCAAAGCUUACAGAGAGCAAAUCAAUUCAAGCAAUGUGCCAAGUUUAUGCGGCUGUCUCUUAUAUCUGUAUUGGCGAUGCUGAAUCAUCUACACUCGC